rnacentral:rRNA from 1 species
AUUGAACGCUAGCGGGAUGCCUAACACAUGCAAGUCGAGCGAGCGGCGGACGGGUGAGUAAUGUAUGGGGACUGCCCGAUAGAGGGGGAUAACUACUGGAAACGGUAGCUAAUCCCGCAUACUAUCGGAUAACCCAUAUGGGAUUGGCUAGUAGGUGAGGUAAUGGCUCACCUAGGCGACGAUCCCUAGCUGGUCUGAGAGGAUGAUCAGACACACUGGGACGAAGACACGGCCCAGACUCCGACGGAGGCAGCAGGGGGGAAUAUUGCACAAUGGGCGCAAGCCUGAUGCAGCCAUGCCGCGUGUAUGAAGAAGGCCCUAGGGUUGUAAAGUACUUUCAGUCGGGAGGCGUUAGCGACAGAAGAAGCACCGGCUAACUCCGUGCCAGCAGCCGCGGUAAUAC